CCUUAUCUUGUUCGUGCCCCUAAUUUUCGCUCCACUAAUCACGAUCCCUGCCUUCCCCCUACGACCUCCAGAGAUGACCUCGCCCUCGACCAACCUCCACACACAUUCACACCAAGCCGAGGGGCAGGAGGCGAGCGGCCGUCAAUGUCAAGGACUCUAGAAGAGGGCACUAUUCCUCCAACACUUAUCGCAGCACCGGCGUCUCAUGCUCGAGGUCGGCGGAGCUGAUUCCUGUUUGCACCAAUUGGAGCCAAUAGCCGUGGCGGCAGCGGCCACGACGACAAGAUCAAGUCUUGCCAAUCCUGGAUUCUCGAUAACUAACAAAAGCAGAUUUAUUUUGUAGUUCUCCUCUCCGACUCUCUCCAUGUCUUUGUAUUGGCUUCUCUCAGCAUGUCUAUUUCCGUUUCUCCAUAUGUAGGAUGCGGUGACAACUACGUCAGCGAGCUUAGCAGGCCACCUGUGCGCGCCGGAGGCGGCCAGAUCCGGAGCCACCGGAGGUUAGUCCUCCGCCGGCGGGAGCUGAGGCGUUAUUAACCACCAAUACCAUGUAUCACUGCGCCACGGGCUCGCCGUCGCUGCUUCUGGACUUGGACGCACUGGACUUGUAAUUGCGAUCACAUUUUUGUGUAAUUCUUGAUUGCAAUCCAUGAAAUCUCUGCAAUGCUGAAUAUAUUUAGUUGUCAUCAA